rfam:Aquimarina atlantica strain 22II-S11-z7 contig3, whole genome shotgun sequence.
AUUUUCGGGGAAAGAUUUGACUGAUUGCAACCCAAAUACUGAAAUAAUUUUUGUUACAGUAUAAAAAAUGCUAAAGCAGUUCGA